rnacentral:rRNA from 1 species
AGUGAACGCUGGCGGUAGGCCUAACACAUGCAAGUCGAACGGCAGCACAGUAAGAGCUUGCUCUUACGGGUGGCGAGUGGCGGACGGGUGAGGAAUACAUCGGAAUCUACUUUUUCGUGGGGGAUAACGUAGGGAAACUUACGCUAAUACCGCAUACGACCUACGGGUGAAAGCAGGGGAUCUUCGGACCUUGCGCGAUUGAAUGAGCCGAUGUCGGAUUAGCUAGUUGGCGGGGUAAAGGCCCACCAAGGCGACGAUCCGUAGCUGAUCUGAGAGGAUGAUCAGCCACACUGGAACUGAGACACGGUCCAGACUCCUACGGGAGGCAGCAGUAGGGAAUAUUGGGCAAUGGGCGAAAGCCUGAUCCAGCAAUACCGCGUGAGUGAAGAAGGCCUUCGGGUUGUAAAGCCCUUUUGUUGGGAAAGAAAAGCAGCAUGUGAAUACCCCGCUGUUCUGACGGUACCCAAAGAAUAAGCACCGGCUAACUUCGUG